rnacentral:sRNA from 1 species
AGAAACACGAUCCCCAGACCCAGCCUCAGACCCACUGGGUCAGAAGCUCUGGGGCGGGGCCCAGCAAUCUGUUUAAACAAGGCCCCUACUUGCGCCUGUCGCCCGUUCAGGCUUGGGAGCAGCCACUGUGGACAAAGCCUUGUGUACCUCCAACUUUACUGGACCUUCUGAAAGAUGUGAACAGCGUCUAGUGCUCCAGAAAGGAUUUUAUUUAUUCUAGCACAAAUCGACGGAAGUUAUCCCUGAUGUGGGGCUUUGCUAUCCAGACGGCGCCUCAUCUCCCAGAGAUCUUCCUUAGAGACCCUGGAAGAUAUUGAGGAGAACGCACCUCUCCGGAGAGAUACUGCAUCAGCCUUAGACCCCCCAGAGCCAGUCCCACCCUUUACAGAGCAGCCCUUAGCCUGGGGUCAUGGGCCAGGCUGACCUUCGGCAAUUAUUUCUAGAUGAUUUCUGGAUAAGAAUUGCUCUCUCGGUACCAGACAGUUUGACAUCCUCCACCCUUAGAAAAUGACAUUGUUUUGUUACUGCUCCUACCCACCAAGGGGAUAAAGAAGGCGAGUUCUGAGUGUUGGAUGAGUCA